UACGUAGGGGGCUAGCGUUGCUCGGAAUCACUGGGCGUAAAGCGCACGUAGGCGGCUUUUUAAGUCAGGGGUGAAAUCCUGGAGCUCAACUCCAGAACUGCCUUUGAUACUGGGAAGCUUGAGUCCGGAAGAGGUGAGUGGAACUCCGUGUGUAGAGGUGAAAUUCGUAGAUAUUCGGAAGAACACCAGUGGCGAAGGCGGCUCACUGGUCCAGUACUGACGCUGAGGUGCGAAAGCGUGGGGAGCAAACAGG
rnacentral:rRNA from 1 species